rnacentral:rRNA from 1 species
UGGCGGCGUGCUUAAUACAUGCAAGUCGUACGAGGGCCCAGAGCUUGCUCUGGAGACCCGAGUGGCGAACGGGUGAGUAACACGUGACCAACCUGUCCUAGGGAGAGGGACAACCCGGGGAAACCUGGGCUAAUACCGCAUGAUGUCACCGGAUCGCAUGGUCUGGUGAUCAAAGGGGGCCUCUACUUGUAAGCUCCCGCCCAAGGAGGGGGUCGCGACGUAUCAGCUUGUUGGUGGGGUAACGGCCUACCAAGGCUACGACGCGUAGCGGAUCUGAGAGGAUGAUCCGUCACAUUGGGACUGAGAUACGGCCCAGACUCCUACGGGAGGCAGCAGUAGGGAAUAUUGCGCAAUGGGCGAAAGCCUGACGCAGCGACGCCGCGUGUGGGAGGAAGCCUUUCGGGGUGUAAACCACUGUCAGAGGGGAAGAACGGCGCCGAUUCGAAUAGGUUCGGCGAUUGACGGUACCCUCAGAGGAAGCGCCGGCUAACUCCGUGCCAGCAGCCGCG